rfam:Myotis lucifugus cont2.23877, whole genome shotgun sequence.
GAGGCACCCCUAUGCAGCAGGACUUGCUUCAGUGGGGCUUUGGUGCUCACUGAGUCUUCCCUUUGAGUGUGUCACU